CCUGGGAUAGCUCAGUCAGUAGAGCAUGAGACUCUGAAUCUCAUGGUCGAGGGUUCAAGCCCCACGUUUGGCA